GCGGGGACAGACAGAUCCGAAUUUUUUUUUCUUAUUGAUUUUGAUAUAUGGAACAUUGCAAUCGGAGUUCGUAUGCAAAAGUUAUGGCUCUUUUACGAACGGACUCCGAAUUAGAGGACAAAACGGUCCGAAAGUGGGGAAAAUUUGCAGCGGUGGCUAGAAAUUGAUUGAAACGGUGGGGAAAAACACAUGAACUAGAGUCUAGCAAGACCUAACCAGAAACAAGACCUCAACCAGGACACAAACUCAACUCUGCGGACGUUGUAACUGAAAUAUGCAAAGGCUAUGGCGCGGAAGGGUUGUAGGACAGGAAAACGAUAUGGCACUGGACUUAUGGGACGAACAUAGGAACACUCGAAACUAAGGGUAUAUGUGAAACUAACGGUAUACCUGAAGCUUUGAUUACCACUUGAUGAGAACAAGGGUGGCCCUAUCUUCCAAAAGUUUCUGGUAACUCUCGAUUUGGUGGAGAUGAGAUACAAAUCAAUCCAGCUUCAGAACAACACGAUCCGAAACCCUGCAUUUUUUUUAUUUUUUUGAUAUUUUUCUUUUACUAGGAGCACUAAAAAAGUAACCACAGAAAAUUUGAGCUUAAACAAGUGAAAGACGUGGUCUGUAGAAUUUUUUGAAGAUUGCGAAAAAUGUGAAAAAAAACAUCACGAGGUAAAAACUCAAAUUUCGGAGGCGAAUUUGGAGAUUCUAAAAUUUUCAAACCUGCUCUAGGCAGGGACAGACUGAUCCAAAUAUUUUGUCUUAUCGAUUUUGAUAUAUGGAACAUUGCAAUCGGAGUACGUAUGCAAAAGUUAUGGCUCUUUUACGGACGGACUCCGAAUUAGAGGACAAAACGGUCUGAAAGUGGGGAAAAUUUGCGGCGGUGGCUAGAAAUUGAUUGAAACGGUGGGGAAAAACACACGAACUAGAGUCUAGCAAGAUCUAACCAGAAACAAGACCUCAACCAGGACACAAACUCAACUCUGCGGACGCUGUAACUGAAAUAUGCAAAGGCUAUGGCGCGAUAGGUUUGUAGAACACGAAAACGAUAUGGCACUGGACUUAUGGGACGAACAUAGGAACACUCGAAACGAAGUGUAUAUGUGAACCUAACGGUAUACCUGAAGCUUUGAUUACCACUUGAUGAGAACAAGGUUGGCCUGAUCUUCCAAAAGUUUCUGGUAACACUCGAUUUGGUGGAGAUGAGAUACAAAUCGAUCCGGCUUCCGGACAACACGAUCUGAAACCCUGCAAUUUUUUUAUUUUUUUGAUAUUUUUCUUUUACUAGGAGCACUAAAAAAGUAAGUACAGAAAAUUUGAGCUUAAACAAGUGAAAGACGUGGUCUGCAGAAUUUUCUAAAGAUUGCAAAAAAUGUGAAAAACCUUCAUGAGGUGAAAACUCAAACUUCGCAGGUGAAUUUGGAGAUUCUAAAAUUUUCAAACCUGCUAAAGGCGAGGACAGACAGAUCUGAAUUUUUUUUUCUGAUCGAUUUUGAUUCAUGGAACAUUGAAAUUGGAGUUCGUAUGUGAACGUUAUGGUUGUUUUAGGAACGGACUCCGAAUUAGAGGACAAAACGGUCCGAAAGUGGGAAAAAUUUACGGUGGUGCCUAGAAAUUGAUGGAAAUGGUGGGGUAAAAUACACGAACUGGACUCUACAAGACCUAACCAGCAACAAGACCUCGACUAGGACACAAACUCAACACUGUAGACUCUAAAACUGAAAUAUGCAAAGGCUAUGGUGCGGAAGGGUUGUAGGACAGGAAAACGAUGUGGCACUAGACUUAUGGGAUGAACAUAAGAACACUCGAAACUAAGGGCCGAUGUGGACCUAAUGUUAUACAUGAAGCUUUGAUUACCACUUGAUGAGAACAAGGGUGGCCCGAUCUUCCGAAAGGUUCAGGUAACUCUCGAUUUGGUGGAGAUGAGACACAAAUCGAUCCGGCUUCCGAACAACACGAUCCGAAACACUGCAAUUUUGUUUAUUUUUUUGAUAUUUUUCUUUUACUAGGAGCACUAAAGAAGUAACCAUAGAAAAUUUGAGGUUAAACAAGUGAAAGACCUAGUCUGCGGAAAUUUCUGAAGAUUUUGAAAAAUGUGAAAAAAAUCAUGAGGUGAAAACUCAAACUUCGGAGGCAAAUUUGUAGAUACUAAAAGUUUGAAACCCACCAUAGGUAGAGACAGACAGAUCCGAAUUUUUUUUCUGAUCCAUCUUGAUAUAUGGAACAUUGAAAUCGGAGUUCGUAUGCGAAAGUUAUGGCUGUUUUACGAAUGGACUCUAAAUUAGAGGACAAAACGGUCCGAAAGUCGGAAAAAUUUGCGGCGGUGGCUAGAAAUUGAUGGAUAUGGUGGGGAAAAUACAUGAACUGGACUCUAACAAGACCUAACCAGCAACAAGACCUCAACCAGAACACAAACUCAACACUGCGGACUCUAAAACUGAAAUAUGCAAAGGUUAUGACGCGGAAGGGUUGUAGGACAGGAAAACGAUAUGGCACUAUACUUACGGGACGAGCACAAAGACACUCGAAACUAAGGGUAGAUGUGAACCUAACGAUAUACCCGAAGCUUUGAUUACCACUUGAUGAGAACAAGGGACCGAUCUUCCAAAAGGUUCUGGUAACUCUCGAUUUGGUGGAGACGAGAUACAAAUAGAUCUGACUUCCGAACAACACGAUACGAAACCCUACAAUUUUUUUAAAAUUGUUUUGAUAUUCUUCUAUUACUCAGGAGCACUAAAGAAGUAACCAGAGUAAAUUUGAGCUUAAAGAAGUGAAAGACGUGGCAUGCGGAAUUUUCUGAAGAUUGCGAAAAAUGUGAAAUAAACUUCACAAGGUGAAAACUCAAACUUCAAAGGCGAAUUUGGAGAUUCUAAAUUUUUCAAACCCAACAAUGGCAGAGACAGAGAGAUCCAAAUUUUUUUCUGAUCCAUUUUGAUAUAUGGAACAUUGAAAUCGGAGUUCGUUUGCGAAAGUUAUGGCUGUUUUACGAAUGGAAUCUAAAUUAGAGGACAAAAUUGUCCAAAAGUGGGAAAAAUUUGUGGCGGUGGGUAGAAAUUGAUGGAAAUGUUGGGGAAAAAUACAUGAACUGGACUCUAACAUGACCUAACCAGCAACAAGACCUCGACCAGGACACAAACUCAACACUGCCGACUCUGAAACUGAAAUAUGCAAAGGCUAUGGCACGGAAGGAUUCUAGGACAGGAAAACGAUAUGGCACUGUACCUACGGGACGAACACAAGAACACUCAAAACUAAGGGUAGAUGUGAACCUAACGAUACACCUGAAGCUUUGAUUACCACUUGAUGAGAACAAGGGUGGCCCGAUCUUCCAAAAGGUUAUGGUAACUCUCGAUUUGGUGGAGACGAGAUACAAAUCGAUCCGGCUUCCGAACAACACGAUCUGAAACCCUGCAAUUUUUUUAAAUUUUUUUGAUAUUCUUCUUUUACUUAGGAGCACUAAAGAAGUAACCAGAGAAAAUUUGAGCUUAAACAAGUAAAAGACGUGGCCUGCGGAAUUUUUUGAAGACUGUGAAAAAUGUGAAAUAAACUUCACGAGAUGAAAACUCAAACUUCAGACGCGAAUUUGGUGAUUCUAAAAUUUUCAAAUCCACCAUUGGCGGAGACAGACAGAUCUGAAUUUUUUUUGAUCGAUUUUGAUAUAUGGAACGUUGAAAUCUGAGUUCGUAUGCGAAAGUUAUGGCUAUUUUACGAAUGGACUCCGAAUUAGAGGACAAAACGGUUCGAAAGUGGGAAAAAUUUACGGCGGUGGCUAGAAAUUGUUGGAAAACGGUGGGGAAAAACACACGAACUAAACUCUAACAAGACCUAACCAGCAACAAGACUUCGACCAGGACACAAACUCAACACUGCGGACUCUGAAACUGAAAUAUGCAAAGGUUAUGACGCGGAAGGGUUGUAGGACAGGAAAACAAUAUGGCACUAUACUUACGGGACGAACACAAAAACACUUAAAACUAAGGGUAGAUGUGAACCUAACGAUAUACCUGAAGGUUUGAUUGCCACUUGAUGAGAACAAGGGUGGACCGAUCUUCCGAAAGGUUAUGGUAACUCUCGAUUUGGUGGAGACGAGAUACAAAUAGAUCUGACUUCCGAACAACACGAUACGAAACCCUACAAUUUUUUUAAAAUUGUUUUGAUAUUCUUCUAUUACUUAGGAGCACUAAAGAAGUAACCAGAGUAAAUUUGAGCUUAAAGAAGUGAAAGACGUGGCAUGCGGAACUUUCUGAAGAUUGCGAAAAAUGUGAAAUAAACUUCACAAGGUGAAAACUCAAACUUCAAAGGCGAAUUUGGAGAUUCUAAAUUUUUCAAACCCAACAAUGGCAGAGACAGAGAGAUCCAAAUUUUUUUCUGAUCCAUUUUGAUAUAUGGAACAUUGAAAUCGGAGUUCGUAUGCGAAAGUUAUGGCUGUUUUACUAAUGGAAUCUAAAUUAGAGGACAAAAUUGUCCAAAAAGUGGGAAAAAUUUGUGGCGGUGGGUAGAAAUUGAUGGAAAUGUUGGGGAAAAAUACAUGAACUGGACUCUAACAUGACCUAACCAGCAACAAGACCUCGACCAGGACACAAACUCAACACUGCCGACUCUGAAACUGAAAUAUGCAAAGGCUAUGGCACGGAAGGAUUCUAGGACAGGAAAACGAUAUGGCACUGUACCUACGGGACGAACACAAGAACACUCAAAACUAAGUGUAGAUGUGAACCUAACGAUACACCUGAAGCUUUGAUUACCACUUGAUGAGAACAAGGGUGGCCCGAUCUUCCAAAAGGUUAUGGUAACUCUCGAUUUGGUGGAGACGAGAUAAAAAUCGAUCCGGCUUCCGAACAACACGAUCUGAAACCCUGCAAUUUUUUUAAAUUUUUUUGAUAUUCUUCUUUUACUUAGGAGCACUAAAGAAGUAACCAGAGAAAAUUUGAGCUUAAACAAGUAAAAGACGUGGCCUGCGGAAUUUUUUGAAGACUGUGAAAAAUGUGAAAUAAACUUCACGAGAUGAAAACUCAAACUUCAGACGCGAAUUUGGUGAUUCUAAAAUUUUCAAAUCCACCAUUGGCGGAGACAGACAGAUCUGAAUUUUUUUUGAUCGAUUUUGAUAUAUGGAACGUUGAAAUCUGAGUUCGUAUGCGAAAGUUAUGGCUAUUUUACGAAUGGACUCCGAAUUAGAGGACAAAACGGUUCGAAAGUGGGAAAAAUUUACGGCGGUGGCUAGAAAUUGUUGGAAAACGGUGGGGAAAAACACACGAACUAAACUCUAACAAGACCUAACCAGCAACAAGACUUCGACCAGGACACAAACUCAACACUGCGGACUCUGAAACUGAAAUAUGCAAAGGUUAUGACGCGGAAGGGUUGUAGGACAGGAAAACAAUAUGGCACUAUACUUACGGGACGAACACAAAAACACUUAAAACUAAGGGUAGAUGUGAACCUAACGAUAUACCUGAAGGUUUGAUUGCCACUUGAUGAGAACAAGGGUGGACCGAUCUUCCGAAAGGUUCUGGUAACUCUCGAUUUGGUGGAGACGAGAUACAAAUAGAUCUGACUUCCGAACAACACGAUACGAAACCCUACAAUUUUUUUAAAAUUGUUUUGAUAUUCUUCUAUUACUUAGGAGCACUAAAGAAGUAACCAGAGUAAAUUUGAGCUUAAAGAAGUGAAAGACGUGGCAUGCGGAAUUUUCUGAAGAUUGCGAAAAAUGUGAAAUAAACUUCACAAGGUGAAAACUCAAACUUCAAAGGCGAAUUUGGAGAUUCUAAAUUUUUCAAACCCAACAAUGGCAGAGACAGAGAGAUCCAAAUUUUUUUCUGAUCCAUUUUGAUAUAUGGAACAUUGAAAUCGGAGUUCGUAUGCGAAAGUUAUGGCUGUUUUACUAAUGGAAUCUAAAUUAGAGGACAAAAUUGUCCAAAAGUGGGAAAAAUUUGUGGCGGUGGGUAGAAAUUGAUGGAAAUGUUGGGGAAAAAUACAUGAACUGGACUCUAACAUGACCUAACCAGCAACAAGACCUCGACCAGGACACAAACUCAACACUGCCGACUCUGAAACUGAAAUAUGCAAAGGCUAUGGCACGGAAGGAUUCUAGGACAGGAAAACGAUAUGGCACUGUACCUACGGGACGAACACAAGAACACUCAAAACUAAGGGUAGAUGUGAACCUAACGAUACACCUGAAGCUUUCAUUACCACUUGAUGAGAACAAGGGUGGCCCGAUCUUCCAAAAGGUUAUGGUAACUCUCGAUUUGGUGGAGACGAGAUACAAAUCGAUCCGGCUUCCGAACAACACGAUCUGAAACCCUGCAAUUUUUUUAAAUUUUUUUGAUAUUCUUCUUUUACUUAGGAGCACUAAAGAAGUAACCAGAGAAAAUUUGAGCUUAAACAAGUAAAAGACGUGGCCUGCGGAAUUUUUUGAAGACUAUGAAAAAUGUGAAAUAAACUUCACGAGAUGAAAACUCAAACUUCAGACGCGAAUUUGGUGAUUCUAAAAUUUUCAAAUCCACCAUUGGCGGAGACAGACAGAUCUGAAUUUUUUUUGAUCGAUUUUGAUAUAUGGAACGUUGAAAUCUGAGUUCGUAUGCGAAAGUUAUGGCUAUUUUACGAAUGGACUCCGAAUUAGAGGACAAAACGGUUCGAAAGUGGGAAAAAUUUACGGCGGUGGCUAGAAAUUGUUGGAAAACGGUGGGGAAAAACACACGAACUAGACUCUAACAAGACCUAACCAGCAACAAGACUUCGACCAGGACACAAACUCAACACUGCGGACUCUGAAACUGAAAUAUGCAAAGGUUAUGAUGCGGAAGGGUUGUAGGACAGGAAAACAAUAUGGCACUAUACUUACGGGACGAACACAAAAACACUUAAAACUAAGGGUAGAUGUGAACCUAACGAUAUACCUGAAGCUUUGAUUGCCACUUGAUGAGAACAAGGGUGGACCGAUCUUCCGAAAGGUUCUGGUAACUCUCGAUUUGGUGGAGACGAGAUACAAAUAGAUCCGGCUUCCGAACAACACGAUACGAAACACUACAAUUUUUUUUAAAAUUUUUUUGAUAUUCUUCUAUUACUUAGGAGCACUAAAGAAGUAACCAUAGUAAAUUUGAGCUUAAAGAAGUGAAAGACGUGGCAUGCGGAAUUUUCUGAAGAUUGCGAAAAAUAUGAAAUAAACUUCACAAGGUGAAAACUCAAACUUCAAAGGCGAAUUUGGAGAUUCUAAAUUUUUCAAACCCAACAAUGGCAGAGACAGAGAGAUCCAAAUUUUUUUCUGAUCCAUUUUGAUAUAUGGAACAUUGAAAUCGGAGUUCGUAUGCGAAAGUUAUGGCUGUUUUACUAAUGGAAUCUAAAUUAGAGGACAAAAUUGUCCAAAAGUGGGAAAAAUUUGUGGCGGUGGGUAGAAAUUGAUGGAAAUGUUGGGGAAAAAUACAUGAACUGGACUCUAACAUGACCUAACCAGCAACAAGACCUCGACCAGGACACAAACUCAACACUGCCGACUCUGAAACUGAAAUAUGCAAAGGCUAUGGCACGGAAGGAUUCUAGGACAGGAAAACGAUAUGGCACUGUACCUACGGGACGAACACAAGAACACUCAAAACUAAGUGUAGAUGUGAACCUAACGAUACACCUGAAGCUUUGAUUACCACUUGAUGAGAACAAGGGUGGCCCGAUCUUCCAAAAGGUUAUGGUAACUCUCGAUUUGGUGGAGACGAGAUACAAAUCGAUCCGGCUUCCGAACAACACGAUCUGAAACCCUGCAAUUUUUUUAAAUUUUUUUGAUAUUCUUCUUUUACUUAGGAGCACUAAAGAAGUAACCAGAGAAAAUUUGAGCUUAAACAAGUAAAAGACGUGGCCUGCGGAAUUUUUUGAAGACUGUGAAAAAUGUGAAAUAAACUUCACGAGAUGAAAACUCAAACUUCAGACGCGAAUUUGGUGAUUCUAAAAUUUUCAAAUCCACCAUUGGCGGAGACAGACAGAUCUGAAUUUUUUUUGAUCGAUUUUGAUAUAUGGAACGUUGAAAUCUGAGUUCGUAUGCGAAAGUUAUGGCUAUUUUACGAAUGGACUCCGAAUUAGAGGACAAAACGGUUCGAAAGUGGGAAAAAUUUACGGCGGUGGCUAGAAAUUGUUGGAAAACGGUGGGGAAAAACACACGAACUAAACUCUAACAAGACCUAACCAGCAACAAGACUUCGAUCAGGACACAAACUCAACACUGUGGACUCUGAAACUGAAAUAUGCAAAGGUUAUGACGCGGAAGGGUUGUAGGACAGGAAAACAAUAUGGCACUAUACUUACGGGACGAACACAAAAACACUUAAAACUAAGGGUAGAUGUGAACCUAACGAUAUACCUGAAGGUUUGAUUGCCACUUGAUGAGAACAAGGGUGGACCGAUCUUCCGAAAGGUUCUGGUAACUCUCGAUUUGGUGGAGACGAGAUACAAAUAGAUCUGACUUCCGAACAACACGAUACGAAACCCUACAAUUUUUAUAAAAUUGUUUUGAUAUUCUUCUAUUACUUAGGAGCACUAAAGAAGUAACCAGAGUAAAUUUGAGCUUAAAGAAGUGAAAGACGUGGCAUGCGGAAUUUUCUGAAGAUUGCGAAAAAUGUGAAAUAAACUUCACAAGGUGAAAACUCAAACUUCAAAGGCGAAUUUGGAGAUUCUAAAUUUUUCAAACCCAACAAUGGCAGAGACAGAGAGAUCCAAAUUUUUUUCUGAUCCAUUUUGAUAUAUGGAACAUUGAAAUCGGAGUUCGUAUGUGAAAGUUAUGGCUGUUUUACUAAUGGAAUCUAAAUUAGAGGACAAAAUUGUCCAAAAGUGGGAAAAAUUUGUGGCGGUGGGUAGAAAUUGAUGGAAAUGUUGGGGAAAAAUACAUGAACUGGACUCUAACAUGACCUAACCAGCAACAAGACCUCGACCAGGACACAAACUCAACACUGCCGACUCUGAAACUGAAAUAUGCAAAGGCUAUGGCGCGGAAGGAUUCUAGGAUGGGAAAACGAUAUGGCACUGUACCUACGGGACGAACACAAGAACACUCAAAACUAAGGGUAGAUGUGAACCUAACGAUACACCUGAAGCUUUGAUUACCACUUGAUGAGAACAAGGGUGGCCCGAUCUUCCAGAAGGUUAUGGUAACUCUCGAUUUGGUGGAGACGAGAUACAAAUCGAUCCGGCUUCCGAACAACACGAUCCGAAACCCUGCAAUUUUUUUAAAUUUUUUUGAUAUUAUUCUUUUACUUAGGAGCACUAAAGAAGUAACCAGAGAAAAUUUGAGCUUGAACAAGUAAAAGACGUGGCCUGCGGAAUUUUUUGAAGACUGUGAAAAAUGUGAAAUAAACUUCACGAGAUGAAAACUCAAACUUCAGACGCGAAUUUGGUGAUUCUAAAAUUUUCAAACCCAACCAUGGCAGAGACAGAAAGAUCCGAAUUUUUUUUCUCAUCGAUUUUGAUAUAUGGAACGUUGAAAUCGGAGUUCGUAUGCGAAAGUUUUGACUGUGUCACGAACGGACUCCGAAUUAGAGGACAAAAUGGUUCGAAAGUAGGAAAAAUUUGCGGCGGUCGCUAGAAAUUGAUGGAAACCGGUGGGGAAAAACACACGAACUAGGCUCUAACAAGACCUAACCAGCAUCAAGACCUCGACCAGGACACAAACUCAACACCGCGGAUUCUGAAACUGAAAUAUGCAAAGGCUAUGACACGGAAGGCUUGUAGGACAGGAAAACGAUAUGGCACUGGACUUACGGGACGAACACAAGAACACUCGAAACUAAGGGUAGAUGUGAACCUAACGGUAUACCUGAAGCUUAGAUUACCACUUGAUGAGAACAAGGGUGGCCCGAUCUUCCGAAAGGUUGUGGUAACUCUCGAUUUGGUGGAGACGAGAUACAAAUCGAUCUGGCUUCCAACAACACGAUCCGAAAUCCUAUAAUUUUGUUUUUAUUUUUUUUUGAUAUUUUUUGUUACUUAGUAGCACUAAAGAAGUAACCACAGAAAAUUUGAGCUUAAUCAAGUGAAAGACGUGGCCUACAAAAUUGUGAAAUAAACUUCACAAGGUGAAAACUCAAACUUUGGAGGCGAAUUUGGAGAUUCUAAAAUUUUAAAACCCACCAAUGGCGGAGACACACAGAUUCCAAAUUUUUUUUAAUCAAUUUUGAUAUAUGGAACAUUGAAAUUGGAGUUCGUAUGGGAAAGUUAUGGCUGUUUUACGAACGGACACCGAAUUAGAGGACAAAACGGUUCGAAAGUGGGAAAAAUUUGCGGCGGUGGCUAGAAAUUGAUGAAAAAUUUGGAGAUUCUAAAAUUUUCAAACCCACCAAUGGUAGAGACGGACAGAUCCAAAAUUUUUUUCUGAUUGAUUUUGAUAUAUGGAACGAUGAAAUCGGAGUUCGUAUGCGAAUGUUAUGGUUGUGUUACGAACGGACUCCGAAUUCGAGGACAAAACGGUUCGAAAGUGGGAAAAAAUUGCGGCGGUGGCUAGAAUUUGAUGGAAAACCGUAGGGAAAAACACACGAACUGGACUCUAACAAGACCUAACCAGCAACAAGACCUCGACCAGGACACAAACUCAAUACUGCGGACUCUGAAACUAAAAUAUGCAAAGACUAUGACGCGGAAGGGUUGUAGGAUACGAAAAUGAUAUGGCACUGGACUUACGGGACGAACACAGGAACACUCGAAACUAAGGGUAGAUGUGAACCUAAUGGUAUACCUAAAGUUUUGAUUACCACUUGAUGAGAACAAGGGUGUGGGGGUAUAAACCCCUAUACCCUUACGGCUAGACUUGGGGCAGGAGACUUGGCCCAUCACGAGGCAGUUCGAGGCUUGAUCUAACUGCUCGGAGUUGCGCGCAAGGAAACAAGACGUGGAGAUCAAGCAAUAUUCUAGUCAGUUAGAAUAGGAAUUGAUAUCGUAUUAUCUAUAGUAAUUAUAACCGACUAGGAUUAGUUUCUAGAUCUGUAACCUUGCCCUAUGGAUUAUAUAAAGAGAGGCAAGGGCCCCCAUAGACAACAAAACUCAACACAAUUCGACCCACAACAAUACAAUGAGACGCAGGACGUAGGUAUUACGUCCACACGGUGGCUGGACCUGGAUAAAAUCCUUGUCUGUGUCUUGUGUCACCAUCAAGUUUGUAGCUUGCGCACCUAUGUGCCGAUAAACUACUACCGUGGGUAUACCCCAAGGUAGACUGCCGACUAGCUUUCAUCGAUGGUGGCGUGACAGGUAGGGGGAGUGUGUACAGCUUCCCAAACGAACAACAUGGUUAUCAUCCGAGCUUCCGCUGCCGUGGCUGAAGGUCUCACAUUCACCGUCGGCCAGUUCACUUGGACGACUCACGGUGGCGACCUUACGACCACGACUCUGGAAGAAACUCAGAUCCAAUCUGGGGUAGCAGAGGCGAUGACCCUGAUCACGCCAACCACGAUAACUAUGACUCUGAGGGCCCAACCUCCGCUCCCUCGCUACAAGGGAAAACGAUUCGACAACUCAGACCUUCUUAAAGCCAUCGGUCGAGCCGACCACAAGCUUCUUGAAGUCUCCAACCUGGUGGAUUCGAUUCCAUGCAAGCUUGAUCCAGCACCAGUAUUGUGUUUUUUCAACUCCCAUCAACCAACUCGUGCCACCACGCACGAACGAUUGGAGACGUCCUUGAUGAUAACGUCGACCACCAAGGGGCAGAUUGUCAAUCUCAAGACAGCCUCACCAAAAGAGAACUUUCCUCAUGGUCUGAGCAACACGGCCGAUCAGGUCUCACGACAUAUUCAAUCAUUAUUCGGGAAGAUGGGAUUGUCGCCGGAGCAAACCAGGCGAAUAGCUCGUCAGUUUGUCAAUAUGGUAUCCAUCCGCACUCUGCCAGAAGACAAGGCCACCAAUACAAACUCUAGCACAGGGUCUGUCCCUACCGAGGUUUUACAUCCCGAGGACGAAGACUACGACUUAGAUUUGCCGCCCUACCCCCCGGGUUUUUCCCGCUUUCCAGUCUUUCCACCUCGACGAGGAGAUCUAGUUUUCAACAUCAGCAACGACGAACCAGUUGUCGAUGGCGUAAUCGACGAACAAAGACAGUAGCACGAACAACGCAACAUCAAUUGUGCUCAGCGACGAGCAGAUGAGGAGCGACAAUUAAUCCUAAACAACCUUGAUGAUGCUUUCGACAUGGUUGGAAAUCAGCAAGUGUUCAAGACACCAAGUGCCAACGUGGCCGUUGCCAUGGCAAAUCUCGAUCGACUUCCAGAUACUCCAGAAUAUCAGGACGCUCGAACCAACAUACGAGCGCAUCUGAUCGCUGCCAUAGGACAGACCGCUACUCUGCUCAAAAGGGUCCAAGCCGUCUCCUAUACGGAGGUCACCUCUGACUAGACUCAUCGCAGUCGAACCUCACCGCGACCCGGCGGACACCGUCGUAGCCGUUCACCUAUCAAUGAUCGAAGUAAGGACACCCAUCAUGACAAUCGUGGUCGGGAUGCUGGCAGUUAGCAUGAACAAAGACAUGGACGUGGUCAGGAGGUGAACCAAGACCGGGAUGCCCGUUAGCACAUCAACAGGCGUAUUACUGAUAGAGCAGUACACGAAAACGUGCGACGCAUCGAGUACGAUGUAGCCCACGGCCCCCCGGGACUAAGACAAUUCUCCUCACACAUUUGGCAAGUCGUAUGGCCCCGCAAUUUCAAGCUUGAGAAGCUUAAAAAGUACAAUGACAAGCAGAAUCCCAAAAACUGGAUCACUCUUUAUGAGAUCGCAGUCUGAUCAGCAGGAGGAGAUGAUCACAUCAUGGCAAACUAUUUCCCAAUCGUCCAUGACCAUGCUGGCCACCAAUGGCUCCUCGGUCUACCCGAGGACUCUUUUGAUUCUUGGGAGGAAUUGCGCCAGGCAUUUAUCGAUAACUUCAUUGCUACCUAUAAGCAGCCUGGAAAUAAUAUGACCUUGACACGAUAUGUUACAGGAAGAAUGAGCCCCUGCGCUACUACAUCCAACGCUUCUCGGAUAUGCGCCUCAAGAUUCCAAAAAUUUCCCAUGACGAGGCCAUAUCGGCUUUCAUCAAAGGCCUACGCUUCCACGAAGCAUUAGGAAGCAAGCUACUGCGCAAAAGGCCGACCAUGGUCGCUGAACUUCUCGCCACAGCCAAGAACUACGCUGAUGCCGACGACACAGAAAAGCUCAUCCGAGAAGACGUAUGAGGAGCGGAGCAGCCUCCCCGACGAGAUGACAGCCGUGGAUGUUACGACACCCGGAAUCCCCGCCUUGGCGACAACCGCGACCACCGAGAAGGGUGGGACAGGCGCCGUGAUAAUCGUGACGAUUUCAAAAGCAAGUGACCUCACGACAACGAUCACGAGGUAAACACAGUCAAGCGCCCCAAUGGAUGGCGGGACUACCAGGAAGACUACAACAAGACGCUGAAAGGACCGUGCCAACUCCAUCCCAAGUCGAACCAUACGAUGGAAGAAUGCCGUGUCCUCAAAAGCAUCUACACACAGCAGGCUGCCUAUGGGGAUGCCACCAAGAAAAUUGGAAAACAUGACAGACGCAGUCAAGAAGACGAGGACGACGACCAGGAUAGGGACCCACGGCACCAAUAAGUCAACCUGACCGACGUAGUACACUCAAUAUUUGGAGGGAAGGUCUCAAUCGAGUCGAAGCGAGAAAGAAAACUCUUAAAGAGAGCCUGCCUCAAUGUGGACAGCGCCGAUGGUUUGAUCGCCGAUCCUAAAUUCCCUCCCUGGUCGCACCAAGAGAUUUCCUUCAAUAGACAGGACCAAUGGGCCACCAUCCCGGAGCCAGGGCGCUUCCCGUUGAUCAUGGACCUGUGCAUCAACAACAUCAUGUUUGAGCGCGUGCUCGUCGACGGGGGUAGCUCUAUCGACAUCUUGUUUCGCAACAGCUUGCCUGCUCUCAAGCUAACUCCGGUGCAGCUGAAACCAUAUGAUGCUCAGUUCUAGGGCGUCCUGCCAGGACAAAGCUCAGUACCCCUUGGCCAGAUAACGCUGCCCGUCCAGUUCAGAAUGCCAGACCACUUCCACACAAAAUUCGUCAACUUCGUGGUCGCCGACUUCGAUAGGACCUACCAUGCUAUUCUAGGCCGUCCUUCGCUCACCAAGUUCAUGGCAGUCCUGCACUAUUCAUACUUGGUCCUCAAGAUGCCAACCGAGAAGGGCAUCUUAACCAUCGGAGGCAACGUCUACACAGCAUACACCUGUGAAGAGGAAUGCUUCAAGAUCACCGAGGCAAUCGACCUCUCAAUUUGCAUGGCAGAAACAGUAGCACAAGCAGCUCAAACCCCACCCAACCAGCUCAAGCUACCCGAGCAGGAGACGCCAAGAAAAGGCACCAAGUCUAGGGAACACAAGGAAGUUCAACUGGUCGACGGCAGCCCAGAAAAGACGGCCCUCAUCGGAGCCAAUUUGGAUGCCAAAUAGGAUGACGUGCUCGUGAGGUUUCUCAGGGACAACGUAAGCAUUUUCGCAUGGAAACCUGCGGACAUGCCCGGCGUCCCACGAAGCCUGAUCGAGCACUCCUUAAACGUCUCGAAGACCGCAAGACCUAUCAAGCAAAAGCAACGAUGGUUCGCUCGUGACAAAAAGGAGGCUAUUAGGACAGAGAUUACACGGCUUUUAGUAGCCGGGUUCAUUAAAGAAGUGUAUCAUCCCGAUUGGCUAGCUAAUCCGGUCCUUGUAAGAAAAAAGAAUAAUGAAUGGAGAAUGUGCGUUGAUUACACAGAUCUCAAUAAACACUGUCCUAAAGAUCCUUUUGGUCUUUCUUACAUAGACGAGGUGGUCGACUCAACGGCCGGAUGCGAACUACUCUCCUUUUUCGAUUGUUACUCUAGUUACCACCAAAUCUCGUUAAGAGAAGACAAUCAGAUUAAAACCUCCUUCAUCACUCCUUUCGGUGCAUAUUGCUACACCACGAUGUCCUUCAGACUAAAAAACAUCGGAGCCACCUAUCAACGUGCUAUUCAGCAGUGCCUUCACGACGAGAUACACGACGACCUUGUCGAGGCUUACGUCGACGACAUUGUCGUCAAGACCAGGGACGCUAGCGCCCUGAUCGACAACCUGGACCGCACAUUUAAAGCGCUAAACAAGUACAAGUGGAAGCUUAACCCAAAAAAAUGCAUCUUUGGGGUCCCCUCUGGUAUACUGCUCGGCAACAUCGUCAGCCGCGACGGCAUACGGCCAAACCCUUCAAAAGUCAAGGCAGUACUCGAUAUGUAACCACCAGAAACGUAAAAGAUGUUCAAAAGCUCACAGGGUGCAUGGCUGCUCUCAGCCGGUUUAUCUCUAGGCCGGAAGGAAAAGGGCUUCCUUUCUUCAGGCUACUAAAAGCAUCAGAAAAAUCUUCCUGGUCAGAAGAGGCCAAUAUUGCUUUAACCCAGCUCAAAACUUUCCUCACCUCACCACCAGUUUUCACCGCACCUCAACCCAACGAGGACCUGCUCCUUUACAUAGCAGCAACUAAUCGGGUCGUCUCUACGGUGCUCGUGGUAGAGCGGGAUGAACCAGGCCAUGUCUACAAAGUCCAGAGACCAGUAUACUUCAUAAACGAAGUCCUAAACGAAUCCAAGACUACGUAUCCCCAGAUACAAAAAUUAAUCUGCGCCAUCCUAAUCACCUCAAGGAAAUUGAAGCACUACUUCGAUGGUCAUCAUGUUUUAGUUACUACGAGUUUUCCGUUGGGAGACAUCUUUCACAACAUGGACGCCAAUGGCAGAAUUGUAAAGUGUGCCAUGGAGUUAUGCCCAUUUUCGUUAGAUUUUCAAAGUCGUACAACCGUCAAGUCUCAAGCUCUGGUCGACUUCAUCGCAGAAUGGACUGAUCUCAAUGCACCUCCCUCUCCAGAUGUCUUCGAUCACUGGUCAAUGUUCUUUGACGGGUCCCUAAACAUCAAUGGCGCUGGUGCCGAAAUCCUUUUCAUCUCACCAAAAAAGGACAAACUACGCUACGUCCUUAGGAUCCUCUUUCCGGCAUCCAACAAUGUCGCCGAGUACGAAGCAUGCCUGCACGGCAUCCGAUUGGCCGUUGAACUGGGAGUCAAGCACCUUUACGUCUACGGAGAUUCUUCCCAGGUCAUUAACCAGUUAAAUAAGGUAUGGGACACCACUCAUGAGAAAAUGGAUUUGUACUGCAAAGAAAUACGGAGGUGGGAAUCAAAUUUUUAUGGCAUAGAAUACAUACACGUCGUCUGGGACAAGAAUCAAGCGGCAGAUGCGUUGUCAAAGAUAGGAUCAUCCCGGGCCCAGAUUCCGCAAGGUGUUUUCAUCCAAGACAUUGAUGCACCGAGCGUUUGAGCGGAUCUGGUCGACAAGCCACGCAACGAGGCACUGCUUGUUUGGAACGCCACUCCGACAACCAAUAGCAACGAUUGGUGUACACCUUUUGUUAAGUAUCUCUUGGACAAUUUGGGAUUUCAAGACAAAUCGGAGAACGAACGUCUUAUCCAAUAAUCCAAAAACUAUAUACUGGUCGACGGUAGACUUAUGCGCAAGAACGCAAACUCAGAAGUCUUGUUGAAAUGCAUAACACAAGAUGAUGGCAUCAAGCUGCUAGAUGACAUACACGCUGGGUCCUGUGGCAACCACGUCGCCUCUAGAACACUGGUCAGAAAAGGCUUUCCAAGCAGGUUUUUAAAAGCCAACCGCAGGCGUCGACGCCGAGAAGCUGGUCUGGCAUUGCGAAGGGUGCCAGUUCUUCGCCAAAAGGACCCAUGUACCUGCUCAUGGGAUCUAGACGAUUCCGUCGUCUUGGCCAUUCGCCUGCUGGGGUCUUGACAUGAUUGGACCAUUCAAACCAGCCCUCGGGAAUUUUAAAUUUGUGUUCGUGCUAAUUAACAAGUUCUCCAAGUGGAUCAAGUACAUGCCACUGGUCAAAGUAACCUCACAGAAGGCUGUAGAGUUUCUCAAUCAAAUCAUACACAGAUUCAGGAUUCCCAAUAGUAUAAUCACCGACCUAGGCACUCAGUUCACCGGCACUACAUUCUAGGACUUCUGUGAUGAUAGAGGCAUAGUCAUAAAAUACGUCUUGGUAGCCCAUCCUAGGGCCAAUGGGCAAGUCGAGCGAGCCAAUGGGAUGAUUAUCAAUGCACUAAAGAAAAGGCUAUACACAAAAAAUGACAGGGCGCCGGUGUGGUGGAUGAAAGAAUUACCAGCAGUGGUAUGGAGCCUCCGAACACAGCCUAGUCGAAACACGGGCGUAUCCCCCUACUUCAUGGUUUAUCGGGCUGAGGCAGUGCUCCCCUCUGACGUACCAUUCGGAUCCCCAAGAGUCGAGCAUUUCGACCAGUCUUCAGCAGACCAUGCCAGAGAACUUGAAAUUAAUUGCACAGAAGAGAAAUGGUUCGCCUCCUGCCUUCGAACAACAAAGUACCUCGAAGCCAUGAGACAGUACUACAAUAAGAACGUCAAGGAUCACUCCUUCAUGGUCGGUGAUCUGGUACUCAAGUGAAAAACAAGCCAGGAAGGAAUGCAUAGGUUAUCUACGCCCUGGGAGGGACCUUUUGUGGUCGCCGAAGUUACACGUCCUACCUCUUAUAGGAUGGCUUACCCGGACGGAACAAGCCUGCCCAACUCUUGGCACAUAGACAAACUACAAUGUUUCUACCGCUAAGAUUCAGUACAUCUUACUUGUAUCUUUUUCUGAUGAAUAAUAACAAAGUUUGUCUUCUUGCUGUAUAUUUCUACAUAUGCAGAAUACUCGACAAGCACGACAACAUCUUUCCUCGACAAGUCAUGCAACGAAAUCACUCAAUGAUACUUGACAUAAUUCAGUGAUACAUCACUCAGAUAACUUAUGUACAGCGCUCAAAACAAUGGUUCUAAAAACCUGACUUUAUUACAAAAUUUAUAAACAAAGUUUACAAUAAACACCUCUCUAGAUGGUUUCUUGUCUAUCCCUACAGACUAUUCUAUUGAGCCUACCGCUCGGAUCGCUCGUCCGCACGAGCUUCUUGUGCCAUCGAAGGGGUUGGGGCCACCGGCGUCUAGCUGGUCGAGACCGCAGGCGUCGACCGCCCAUCUCCUGCAAUCGCCGCCCACGACAACUCCCUAGCCGACCUGUCCGACCCUGGCUGAUCGAGGGGAGUAGACGUCCCACAAAGGUUUAUGUCGCCGAUCACCGUCGACGACAGGUCGAGCAGGCCGACGCGAAGGUCAUCCGCCUCCUUCGGACCAACCUCCUUGGGGUAUCCCCUUUCUGGCCGGGAUAGGUCGACUAGGGGGUAGUGAGCGCGCACCAUGCUGAGGACAUGCGCUCCGGCGAACUCCCCAGCAUCCUUCACGAACUGCUGAAGCCAGUCCCAUGCCUGCUGUGCCUUCUUGACUGGGGUCAGCCUCGGUGCACGGGGCUGGUCCUCAGAGAGCUCGGGGCUGAUUAGAUCCAGCACCAGAGCGACCCCCUUCCAGAGCUUUUAUGUAGUUCGUCUUCCAGGACUCUCGGUCUUUCACCAGGUCCUCGACGUGCUUCUUGGUGUUGGCCUUGAGCACUAUGACAUGUUCCAAGCAAAAAUUAAAGCAUAUAGUCAACAACAUGCCAUGCCAAUAAAUAUUUAGUGAUCAGAAAGGUCGAAGUGGAUCGUACCAAUUAGCUCCCGAUUCCUGGCUUUGAGCUCCUCACCCGCCUUAUGCUCGCCUUCUAGCGCACGAGCAUGCUCCUAGCUAAGCUGGUCUUUCUCCUUUUGAAGACACUCGAUCUCCUCCUCCAAACCUGAAGUAAUAAUUGUUUGUCAUAAGCAUCGACCACGUAGUUAACUACAACUACCUAGAAACUUGACUUACUCCUCUUCUCGUGAUCCUUAUCGGCUAGUCGCCGAGUAAGGUCCAGCAUACGCACUUCCUGAGCCGCCUUCUCUUUGCAUCCUUCUCAGCCUCUGACCGAAGGCGGUCCACCUCUGCGGUCAGGAUUUUGUUUUCGGCUACAACCCCCUCAAUCUCGUUGAAGCACCUUUUUCGGUACUUUUGCCAUUUUCAUUGCGUCCUGCGGGAAUUAAACAUACCACACAGUGAACAAACCAUGGUAUAUAUAUACUCCAGCAGAAUAUAAGACCACUCACCUUAACUUCAUUGACAAGCCGCUUGGCAGCACGCUCUACCCUCUCUGCCUCCUCGGUCUCGGCAAUCUCCUUGUGGCCGGCCCAGUGGUCCCCACAUUGGCGCCAUACGUAAAUGUGUUGGCGACCAUCGUGGGGACGCCUCUAGAUUUCCUCCACUUCAUCAUUAGAGGUCGCUUGAGCUUCCCCGCCUUUUGUGCUACCCCCAGCCACGGUAACGGGUAUCAUAGGACCCUUACCUCGGUUAGGAGAGCCCUCCUGCGUGGGAGUCACCGCCGGAGUCGGAGAUGGGGCCUUGCCUUCUUCAACUGGAGCAGGGGAUGGGAUUUCAUGUCCCUCCUCUGCCACGCUGCUCGGGGGAGGAGUCCCCACGGUGGCAUCACCCCUUGUCGGGGUGCUCACCCCGGCCCAACCGCGGGCCGGGUCCUCGUCGGCCACCUCCGUCGUAGCGACAACGGCGGGCUGCUCCACAGGCUGCUCUGUGGCAGUCUGUCGCACGACGCUCUGCUCGGUGGCCACCGGCUCAGGUGUUCUCGAGCUCAAAACAUUGCCAGGAUCAAAAUCCGAGGCAGUACUACAAGGAAAACCCAAUCCAGAGUUACUACACCAAAAUUCAAACCUACGAAAAAAGGAACUUCUCUUGAUAAACUUACAGAUCAGAACUUCUGUGCGCCGCAGUGAAGACCAUUCUCCUGGCUCGCCCAGCAGCCACCACCGCUUCUGUUCCCCCAGGUCAUGCCUGCUCGACAUGCGCGGCAAGCGGGUCCUCGGCAACACGACCACCGUCGCCCGAGGUGACAUCGGGGCGGCUGCGGGGCCUGCGGAUCAAGGUUGGAGCCGCCUCCUCCUCAUCAUCGUUCUCGAUGAUCCUAACAAGCCGUAGGCGCUUGGGCGCUCGGAUGUCAGAAGUCAACCCCUGUAGGUGCUGCUCCAACUGAAGAUGGCUCAACUAUCACAGGGCCUGCAGCUUCCCCUGUAGGUGCUGCUCCAACUGAAGAUGGCUCCACUAUCAUCGGCCUCUUUCCAGCCAACCUGUCGUCGGUGGUCGGAGCUGGCCGAAUCUCUCCUUCGUCGCUACUGGUGUACUGUUCACACCGAGCAGCGUCAUCCGCUGGGGGAUCCAUUCCGGCCGGGUGCUCCACAUCGCGCGCUAGCGACACAUAUACCGUCACCCGGUCCACGUCUCCGAUCUACAACAUAAGUACGACAAGGCAUUAGCAAAAGAAUGCGAUACUAUUAGAACAUUGCAGAAGGACUACAAUUACCUUGGGAGCUGGCCGACCCAUCUUGUAGGCAUGCAUCUGGUUGUCGCUUCUUACGAAGCUACUGUCUCCCAAGUUGAACAGCUCGUUGGUCCUUUGCUGGAUCUCUGAUUUCUCCAGGUUGUCUCGACGUAGUCUGGUCGAAUCUUGCCCACCCUGGUACUCAUACGUGGCAUGCACCCUUUUCUGAUAGGGCAUAACUCGUCGGGCGAGGAAAUUCAUGACCACACCUAGUCUAUCCAGGUGUGACCAGUCGAUAAGACCCAUCAGCUCUGACACCUGACCACUGAAUUCUGGUCGAUUCGUCUAACUAGUCCUCUUCUCGAGGACGUAACCAACGUCACAGAACAUAGCGCUGCCUGGCUCUUCCCUGAUGUAGAACCACCUCUUAUACCAUUCAGUGAGGGAGGUGUUCCAUGAGGAGCUGAGGUACCGAUUCUUCAUGCCAUCACGAAGAUUGAGGUAUACUCCACCUGCAAUCUUGGAGCCUCCAACCGCUCUCUUCUUCCUCAAGCAGAAUAGGUAGCGGAAGAGAUCAAAGUGCGACUCUAUCCCAACAUAGGCCUCGCACAAAUGAAUGAAAGUGGAAACAAGAAGAAUGGAGUUGGGAUGCAGAUUGCAAAUCUCAAUCUCAUAAUAAAGAAGAAGGCCUUGAAGAAACAGAUGAACAAGCAUCCCAAAUCCCCUCUUGAAAGAAUCUUCAAAAACAACGAUCUCACUAGCUCGGGGAUCCGGGUAACUCUCCCCUUCUGACGCCCUCCAGCUGCCAAGCUCCUAGUCAUGCAGAAGCCCCAUCUGGACGAGGUCAUUGAGGGACCUCGUGGUGCUCUGGGAUUUUUCCAUUCCUUGGCCAUCAUCUCGGCCCUUUUCUUCGAGUCACUCUUCGCCAUUCCUACUGCGCGGAGAGCUUUGAACUGCGUGUUGAGUGGUUGAAGGUGCUAAGGAGGACGAUAGCAGGAGGCAAGAGGUAGGAUACUGGUAUGCAACUGCUGGGUAAUGAACAAGGGCACAAUAUCGGGCUCUAUAUAGUACCAAACCCAACUUUUCCAUUUUCUACAUUUUGGGGAAGUGGGGGGUUUUUGCGGCGAGUGCGGCAUUUCGGUUUUCAAGGAUUAUCGUAGUAAAUUCGGUGGCUCUUUUAAAAAUGAUUGUUGGUUUCCUUUUCUUGAUCCGUGCGAUGAGUGGCUGUGCAGUUAGCAGGAACCCCUUUUUAUGCGACAGACUGACAAGAUGGUAGGAUGCCCUAUCACAUCGCAAAUUAAUGCGGCGAUAUGAUGUUUUCAAAAGCAAAGUACUUAAUUUGAUCGGUUCAUCCGAAAGUCUGGGGACUGCACCGACCACCGAGCAUGAUAUGCUCGGGGACUGGUCGACCAGCCUGCUCAUUUUAAUGUCUGGGGACUGUACCGACCACUGAGCAUGAUAUGCCCAAGGACUAUUUGACCAGCCUGCUCAACUAAAAGUCUGGGACUGUACUAACCACUGAGCAUAAUAUGCUCGGGGACUGGUCGACCAGCUUGCUCAUUUGAAUGUCUGGGGACUGUACCGACCACUGAGCAUGAUAUGCUCGGGGACUGGUUGACCAGCCCGCUCAUCUGAAAGUCUGGGGACUGUAUCGACCACCGAGCAUGAUAUGCUCAGGGACUGGUCGACCAACAUCCUCAUUUGAAAGUCCGGGGACUGUACCGACCACCGAGCAUGAUACGCUCGGGGACUGGUCGAUCAGUCUGCUCAAUUGCAAACAAUGUCUAAAUGGGUGAUUUUAACUUUUUAGACCUUGCUACAAGGCUCAUACUUCGCCUUCCAGCAAGCUCGGGGACUACAUCGGUACGAUGCAUCUGGCGAUGCAUCUCAGUUUUCUCUUUUCUACGAAGGAUUUCCUCUUUAGACCCUGGCAUCACGUGACUACGUCACCUAUUACCAGGCUCGGGGACUAAGUGGGCACACUUCACUUUGCAGUGAAUUUGCUUGCUUUUUGAAAGUCUAUACUUCAGAAAAGAAAAGUGAGCACACUUUAUUAGGGAAGAAAUAUUUUUCAAUUAAGAGCACCAUGCAUUCUUCGAACAAUCUGCUUCUUCGAUGUUGAUGUUGAUCAACUGGUUUUCAAAUUGGUUAAAAUACCAUUGCAACUGUUCGGGCGACUUUCCUGGUUGUCGAAGACGUCAAGCCUCACUUGUCGAAGAAGCUCAAGGCGGCGUGUUACAUCACAAUACACGGUGCUCGGGGACUAGCUGUGGGGGUAUAAACCCCUAUACCCUUACGGCUAGACCUGGGCCAGGAGACUUGGCCCAUCACGACACAGUUUGACGCUUGAUCCAACUGCUCAGAGUUUCGCGGAUGGAAACAAGACGUGGAGAUCAAGCAAGAUUCUAGUCGGUUAGAAUAGGAUUUGAUAUCGUAUUAUCUAUAGCAACUGUAACCGACUAGGAUUAGUUUCCAGAUCUGUAACCCUGCCCUCUGGACUAUAUAAAGAGAGGCAAGGGACCCCCCAUAGACAACAAAACUCAACACAAUUUGACCCACAGCAAUACAAUCAGACGCAGGACGUAGGUAUUAGGCCCACACGGCGGCCGAACCUGGAUAAAAAUCCUUGUCUGUGUCUUGCGUCACCAUCAAGUUCGUAGCUUGCACACCUAUUUGCCGAUAAACUACUACCGUGGGUAUAUCACAAGGUAGACUGCCGACCAGCUUUCGUCGACAAAGGGUGGCCCGAUCUUCCGAAAGGUUCUGGAAACUCUCGAUUUGGUGGAGACGAGAUACAAAUCGAUCUGGCUUCCGAACCACACGAUCCGAAAUCCUGCAAUAUUUUUUAAAACUUUUUGAUAUUUUUCUUUUACUUAGGAGCACUAAAGAAGUAACCAUAGAAAAAUUGAGCUUAAACAAGUGAAAGACGUGGCCUACGGAAUUUUCUGAAGAUUGCGAAAAAUGUGAAACAAACUUCACGAGGUGAAAACUCAAACUUCGGAGGCGAAUUUGGAGAUUCUAAAAAUUUCAAACCCACCAAUGCUGCACAGAUUCAAAUUUUUUUCCAAUCGAUUUUGAUAUAUGGAACAUUGAAAUCGGAGUUCGUAUGCUGAAAGUUAUGGCUGUUUUACGAACGAACUCCGAAUUAGAGGACAAAACGGUUCAAAAGUGGGAAAAAUUUGCGGCAGUGGCUAGAAAUUGAUGGAAAACGGUGGGGAAAACACAUGAACUAGACCCUAACAAGACCUAACCAGCAAUAAAACCUCGACCAGGACACAAACUCAACAUUGCGGACUCUGAAACUGAAAUAUGCAAAGGCUAUGACACGGAAGGUUUGUGGGACACGAAAACGAUAUGGCAUUGGACUUAUGGGACGCACAUAAGAACACUCGAAACUAAGGGUAGAUGUGAACCUAACGGUAUACCUAAAGCUUUGAUUACCACUUCAUGAGAACAAGGGUGGCCCAAUCUUCCGAAAGGUUCUGGUAAGUCUUGAUUUGGUGGAGACGAGACACAAAUCGAUCCGGCUUCCGAACAACACGAUCCGAAACCCUACAAUUUUUUUAAAAUUUUUUUUGAUAUUUUUAUUUUAUUUAGAAGCACUAAAGAAGUAACCAUAGAAAAUUUGAGCUUAAACAAGUGAAAGACGUCGCCUGCGGAAUUUUCUGAAGAUUGCAAAAAUGUGAAAAAAACUUCAUGAGGUGAAAACUUAAACUUUGGAGGCGAAUUUAGAGAUUCUAAAAUUUCCAAACCCGCCAGUUCCAGGGAUAGACAGAUCCAAAAUUUUUUUCUGAUCGAUUUUGAUAUAUGGAACAUUGAAAUCGGAGUUCGUAUGCGAAAGUUAUGGCUGUUUUAUGAAUGGACUCUAAAUUAGAGGACAAAAUGGUCCGAAAGUGUGAAAAAUUUACGGCGGUGGCUAGAAAUUGAUUGAAAAGGUGGGGAAAAAUACAUGAGCUAGAAUCUAACAAGACCUAACCAGCAACAAGACCUCAACUAGGACACAAACUCAAUACUGUGGACUCUGAAACUGGAAUAUGCAAAGGCUAUGGCACGGAAGGGUUGUAGGACAGGAAACGAUAUAACACUGGACUUAUGGAACAAACACAAGAACACUCGAAACUAAGGGUAGAUGUGAACCUAACAGUAUAUCUGAAGCUUUGAUUACCACUUGAUGAGAACAAGGGUGGCCGGAUCUUUCGAAAGGUUCUGGUAACUGUUGAUUUGGUAGAGACGAGACACAAAUUGAUCCAGCUUCCGAACAACACGAUCCGAAACCCUACAAUUUUUUCAUUUUUUUGAUAUUUUGAUUUUACUUAGGAGCACUAAAGAAGUAACCACAGAAAAUUUGAGCUUAAGUAAGUGAAAGACGUCGCCUGCGGAAUUUUCUGAAUAUUGCAAAAAAUGUGAAAAAAAUUGACGAGGUGAAAACUCAAACCUCGGAGUCGAAUUUGGAUACUAAAAUUUUCAAACCCACCAGUGGCCGAGACAGACAGAUCCAAAAAAUUUUUCACAUCGAUUUUGAUAUAUGGAACAUUGAAAUCAGAGUUCGUAUGUGAAAGCUAUGGCUGUUUUACAAACGGACUCCAAAUUAGAGGAUAAAACGGUUCGAAACACUGCAGACUCUGAAACUGAAAUAUGCAAAGGCUAUGACGCGGAAGGGCUGUAGGACAGGAAAACAAUAUGGUACCGGACUUACGGGACGAACACAAGAACACUCGAAACUAAGGGUAGAUGUAAACCUAACGGUACUGAAGCUUUGAUUACCACUUGAUGAGAACAAGGGUGGCCCGAUCUUCCGAAAGGUUCUGGUAACUCUCGAUUUGGUGGAGACGAGAUACAAAUCGAUCUGGCUUCCGAACAACACGAUCUGAAACCCCGCAAUUUUUUUUUUAAUUUUUUGAAUAUUUUUCUUUUACUUAGGAGCACUAAAGAAGUAACCAGAUAAAAUUUGAGCUUAAACAAGUGAAAGACGUCAUCUGCGGAAUUUUCUGAAGAUUGCGAAAAAUAUGAAAAAAACAUCACGAGAUGAAAACUCAAACUUUGGAGGAAAAUUUGGAGAUUCUAAAAUUUUCAAACCCGCCAGUUCCAAGGAUAGACAGAUCCGAAUUUUUUUUCUGAUCGAUUUUGAUAUAUGGAACAUUGAAAUCAGAGUUCGUAUGUGAAAGUUAUGGCUGUUUUAUGCAUGGACUCUAAAUUAGAGGACAAAAUGGUCCGAAAGUGUGAAAAAUUUAGGAGCACUAAAGAAGUAACCAGAGAAAAUUUGAGCAUAAAUAAGUGAAAGACGUCGCCAGCGGAAUUUUCUGAAGAUUGCAAAAAAUGUGAAAAAAAACUUGACGAGGUGAAAACUCAAAUUUUGGAGGCGAAUUUGGAGAUUCUAAAAUUUUCAAACCCGCCAGUUCCAAGGAUAGGCAGAUCCAAAAUUUUUUCUCAUCGAUUUUGAUAUAUGGAACAUUGAAAUCGGAGUUCGUAUGUGAAAGUUAUGGCUAUUUUAUGAUUGGACUCUUAAAUAGAGAACAAAAUGGUCCGAAAGUGUGAAAAAUUUACGGCGGCGGCUAGAAAUUGAUGGAAACGGUGGAAAAAAAAUACAUGAACUGGACUUAACAAGACCUAACCAGCAACAAGACCUCAACCAGAACACAAACUCAACACUGUAGACUCUGAAACUGAAAUAUGCAAAGGCUAUGACGCGGAAGGGUUGUAGGAUAGGAAAACGAUACGGCACUGGACUUAUAGGACGAACACAAGAACACUCGAAACUAAGGGUAGAUGUGAACCUAACAGUAUACCUGAAGCCAGUUGUUGAGAACAAGGGGCCCGAUCUUCCAAAAGGUUCUGGUUACUCUCGAUUUGGUGGAAACAAGACACAAAUCGAUCCGGCUUCUGAACAACACGAUCCGAAACCCUAUAAUUUUUUAUUAUUUUGACAUUUUUCUUUUACUUAGAAGCAAUAAAGAUGUAACCGCAGAAAAUUUGAGCUUAAACAAGUGAAAGACGUGGCCUGCGGAAAUUUCUGAAGAUUGCGAAAAAUGUGAAAAAAAUUGACGAGGUGAAAACUCAAACUUCGGAGGCAAAUUUGGAGAUACUAAAAUUAUCAAACCCACCAAUGGCGGGGACAGACAGAUCCAAAAUUUUUUCCUAAAUGAUUUUGAUAUAUGGAACAUUGAAAUCGGAGUUCGUAUGUGAAAGUUAUGGCUGUUUUACGACCGGACUCCGAAUUAGGGGACAAAACAGUUUGAAAGUGGGAAAAAUUUGCGGCGGUGGCUAGAAAUUGAUGGAAAACGGUAUAGGAAAAACACAUGAACUACUCUAGCAAGACCUAACCAGCAACAAGACCUCAACCAGGACACAAACUCAACACUACGGACUCUGAAACUGAAAUAUGCAAAGGGUAUGACGCGGAAGGGUUGUAGGACAGGAAAACGAUAUCGCACUGGACUUAUGGGAGGAACACAAGAACACUCGAAACUAAGGGUGAUGUCUAACAGUAUACCUGAAGCUUUGAUUACCACUUGAUGAGAAUAAGGGUGGCCCGAUUUUCCGAAAGGUUCUGGUAACUCUCGAUUUGGUGGAGACGAGAUACAAAUCGAUCCGGCUUUCGAACAACACGAUCCGAAACCCUGCAAUUUUUUUUUUGAAAAUUUUCUUUUACUUAGGAGCAAUAAAUAAGUAACCACAGAAAAAUUGAGCUUAAACAAGUGAAAGACGUGGCCUGCAGAAAUUUCUGAACAUUGCGAAAAAUGUGAAAAAAAUCACAAGGUGAAAACUCAAAUUUCGGAGGUGAAUUUGGAGAUACUAAAAUUUUCAAACCCACCAAUGGCGGAGACAGACAGAUCCAAAAAUUUUUCUGACACGAUUUUGAUAUAUGGAUAAUUGAAAUCGGAGUUCGUAUGUGAAAGUUAUGGCUGUUUUACGAAUGAGAUCCGAAUUAGAGGACAAAACGGUUCAAAAGUGGGAAAAAAUUUGCAGCGAUGACUAGAAAUUGAUGGAAAACGGUGGGGAAAACACACGAACUAGACUCUAACAAGACCUAACCAGCAACAAAACCUCGACAAAGACACAAACUCAACACUGCAGACUCUCAAACUGAAAUAUGCAAAGGCUAUGACGCGGAAGGGUUGUAGGACAGGAAAACGAUAUGGCACUGGAAUUACGGAACGAAGACAAGAACACUCGAAACUAAGGGUAGAUGUGAACCUAACGGUAUAACUGAAGCUUUGAUUACCACCUGAUGAGAACAAGGGUGGCCUGAUCUUAUGAAAUGUUCUGGUAACUCUCGAUUUUGUGGAGACGAGAUACAAAUCGAUCCGGCUUCCAAACAACACGAUCCGAAACCCUACAUUUUUUUUAAUUUUUUUGAUAUUUUUCUUUUACUUAGGAGCACUAAAGAAGUAACCAGAGAAAAAAUUUGAGCUUAAACAAGUGAAAGACGUCGCCUGCGGAAUUUUCUGAAGAUUGCAAAAAAAGUGAAAAAAUUGACGAGGUGAAAACUCAAACCUUGGAGUCGAAUUUGGAGAUACUAAAAUUUUCAAACCCACCAGUGGCAGAGACAGAUAGAUCUAAAAUUUUUUUUUCAUCGAUUUUGAUAUAUGGAACAUUGAAAUUGGAGUUCGUAUGUGAAAGUUAUGGCUGUUUUACAAACGGACUCCGAAUUAGAGGACAAAACGGUUCGAAAGUGGGAAAAAUUUGCGGCGGUGGCUAGAAAUUGAUGGAAAACGGUGGGGAAAAACACACGAACUGGACCCUAGCAAGAACCAGCAACAAGACCUUGACCAGGACACAAACUCAACACUGCGGACUCUGAAACUGAAAUAUGCAAAAGCUAUGAUGCGGAAGAGUUGUAGGACAGGAAAACGAUCUGGCGCUGGACUUACGGGACAAACACAAGAACACUCGAAACUAAGGCUAGAUGUGAACCUAAUGGUAUACUUGAAGCUUUGAUUACCACUUGGUGAGAACAAGGGUGGCCCGAUCUUCCGAAAGGUUCUGGUAACUCUCGAUUUGGUGGAGACGAGAUACAAAUCGAUCCGGCUUCCAAACAACACGAUCCGAAACCCUGUAUUUUUUUUAAUUUUUUUGAUAUUUUUAUUUUACUUAGGAGCACUAAAGAAGUAACUAGAGAAAAUUUGAGCUUAAACAAGUGAAAGACGUCACCUGCGGAAUUUUGUGAAGAUUGCGAAAAAUAAGAAAAAAAAACUUCACGAGGUGAAAACUCAAAUUUUGGAGGAAAAUUUGGAGAUUCUAAAAUUUUCAAACCCGCCUGUUCCAAGGAUAUACAGAUCCAAUUUUUUUUUGAUCGAUUUUGAUAUAUGGAACAUUGAAAUCGGAGUUCUUAUGUGAAAGUUAUGGCUGUUUUAUGAAUGGACUCUAAAUUAGAGGACAAAAUGGUCCGCAAGUGUGAAAAAUUUACGGCGGCGGCUAGAAAUUGAUGGAAACGGUGGGGAAAAAAUACGUGAACUGGACUACAACAAGACCUAACCAGCAACAAGACCUCAACUAGGACACAAACUCAACACUGUAGACUUUGAAACUGAAAUAUGCAAAGGCUAUGGCGCGGAAGGGUUGUAGCAUAGGAAAACGAUAUGGCACUGGACUUAUGGGACGAAUACAAGAACACUCGAAAUUAAGGGUAGAUGUGAACCUAACAGUAUACCUAAAGCUUUGAUUACCAGUUGAUGAGAACAAGGGUGGCCCGAUCUUCCAAAAGGUUCUGGUAACUCUCGAUUUGGUGGAGACAAGACACAAAUCGAUCCGGCUUCUGAACAACACGAUCCGAAACCCUACAAUUUUUUUAUUUUUUGAUAUUUUUCUUUUACUUAGGAGCAAUAAAGAAGUAACCGCAGAAAAUUUGAGCUUAAACAUGUGAAAGACAUGGCCUGCAGAAAUUUCGGAAGAUUGCGAAAAAUGUGAAAAAAAUUGACGAGGUGAAAACUCAAACUUUGGAGGCGAAUUUGGAGAUACUAAAAUUUUCAAACCCACCAAUGUCAGAGACACACAGAUCCAAAAUUUUGUUCUAAUCAAUUUUGAUAUAUGGAACAUUGAAAUCGGAGUUCGUAUGUGAAAGUUAUGGCUGUUUUACGAACGGACUCCGAAUUAGAGGACAAAACGGUUCGAAAGUGGGAAAAAUUUGCGGCGGUGGCUAGAAAUUGGUGGAAAAUGGUGGGGAAAAACACACGAACUGGACUCUAGCAAGACCUAACCAGCAAUAAGACCUCGACUAGGACACAAACUCAACACUACGGACUCUGAAACUGAAAUAUGCAAAGGCUAUGACGCGGAAGGGUUGUAGGACCGGAAAAUGAUAUGGCAUUGGACUUACGGGACGAACACAAGAACACUUGAAACUAAGAGUAGAUGUGAACCUACAUGUGAACCUAACGGUGUACCUGAAGUUUUGAUUACCACUUGAUGAGAAAAAAGGUGGCCCGAUCUUCCGAAAGUUUCUGGUAACUCUCGAUUUGGUGGAGACGAGAUACAAACCGAUCCGGCUUCCGAGCAACACGAUCAGAAACCCUGCAAAUUUUUUUAUUUUUUUGAUAUUUUUAUUUUACUUAGGAGCACAAAAGAAGUAACCAUAGAAAAUUUGAGCUCAAACAAGUGAAAGACGUGGCCUUUAGAAAUUUCUGAAGACUGCGAAAAAUGUAAAAAAACACGAGGUGAAAACUCAAAUAUUGGAGGUGAAUUUGGAGAUACUAAAAUUUUCAAACCCACCAAUGGUGGAGACAGAUAGGUCCAAAAUUUUUUUCUGACACAAUUUUGAUAUAUGAAACAUUGAAAUCGGAGUUCGUAUGCGAAAGUUAUUGCUAUUUUACGAAUGGGGUCUGAAUUAGAGGACAAAACGGUUCGAAAUUGGGAAAAAUUUGCGGCGGUGGCUAGAAAUUGAUGGAAAACGGUGAGGAAAAACACACGAACUAGACUCUAACAAGACCUAACCAGCAACAAGACCUCGACCAGGACACAAACUCAACACUGCGGACUCUCAAACUGAAAUAUGCAAAGGCUAUGACGCGGAAGGGUUGUAGGACAGGAAAACGAUAUUGCACUGGACUUACGGGACGAACACAAGAACACUCGAAACUAAGGGUAGAUGUGAACCUAACGGUAUACCUGAAGCUUUGAUUACCACUUGAUGAGAGCAACGGUGGCCUGAUCUUAUGAAAUGUUCUGGUAAAUCUCGAUUUGGUGGAGACGAGAUACAAAUCGAUCCAGCUUCCAAACAACACGAUCCGAAACCCUGCAUUUUUUUUAAUUUCUUUGAUAUUUUUCUUUUACUUAGGAGCACUAAUUUAGUAACCAGAGAAAAUUUGAGCUUAAACAAGUGAAAGACGUGGGCUGCGGAAUUUUCUGAAGAUUGAGAAAAAUGUGAAAUAAACUUCACGACGUGAAAACUCAAAUUUCGGAGGCGAAUUUGGAGAUUCUAAAAUUUUCAAACCCGCCCGAGCCAGAGACAGACAAAUCUGAAAAUUUUUUCUCAUCGAUUUUGAUAUAUGGAACAUUGAAAUCGGAGUUCGUAUGUGAAAGUUAUGGCUGUUUUACAAACGGACUCCGAAUUAGAGGACAAAACGGUUCGAAAGUGGGAAAAAUUUGCGGCGGUGGCUAGAAAUUGAUGGAAAACGGUGGAGAAAAACACACGAACUGGACUCUAGCAAGACCUAACCAGCAACAAAACCUCGACCAGGACACAAACUCAACACUGCGGACUCUGAAACUGAAAUAUGCAAAGGCUAUGACGCGGAAGGGUUGUAGGACACGAAAACGAUAUGGCACUGGACUUACGGGACGAACACAAGAACACUCGAAACUAAGGGUAGAUGUGAACCUAACGGUAUACCUGAAGCUUUGAUUACCACUUGAUGAGAACAAGGGUGGCCCGAUCUUCCGAAAGGUUGUGGUAACUCUCGAUUUGGUGGAGACGAGAUACAAAUCGAUCCGGCUUCCAAACAACACGGUCCGAAACCCUGCAAUUUUUUUUAAUUUUUUUGAUAUUUUUCUUUUACUUAGGAGCACUAAAGAAGUAACUAGAGAAAAUUUGAGCUUAAACAAGUGAAAGACGUCGCCUGUGGAAUUUUCUGAAGAUUGCGAAAAAUAUGAAAAAAAACUUCACGAGGUGAAAACUCAAAUUUUGGAGGAACAUUUGGAGAUCCUAAAUUUUCUAACCCACAAGUUCCAAGGAUAGACAGAUCCAAAUUUUUUUCUGAUCGAUUUUGAUAUAUGGAACAUUGAAAUCGGAGUUCGUAUGUGAAAGUUAUGGCUGUUUUAUGAAUGGACUCUAAAUUAGAGGACAAAAUGGUCCGAAAGUGUGAAAAAUCUACGGCAGCGGCUAGAAAUUGAUGGAAACGGUGGGAAAAAUACAUGAACUGGACUCUAACAAAACCUGACCAGCAACAAGACCUCAACCAGGACACCAACUCAACACUGUAGACUCUGAAACUGAAAUAUGCAAAGGCUAUGGCGCGUAAGGGUUGUAGGAUAGGAAAACAAUAUUGCACUGGACUUACGGGACGAACACAAGAACACUCGAAACUAAGGGUAGAUGUGAACCUAACGGUAUACCUGAAGCUUUGAUUACCACUUGAUGAGAGCAAGGGUGGCCUGAUCUUAUGAAAUGUUCUGGUAACUCUCGAUUUGGUGGAGACGAGAUAUAAAUCGAUCUGGCUUCCAAACAACACGAUCCGAAACCCUGCAUUUUUUUUAAUUUAUUUGAUAUUUUUCUUUUACUUAGGAGCACUAAAGAAGUAACCAGAGAAAAUUUGAGCUUAAACAAGUGAAAAGUGAAAGACGUGGCCUGCGGAAUUUUCUGAAGAUUGAGAAAAAUGUGAAAUAUACUUCACGACGUGAAAACUCAAAUUUCAGAGGCGAAUUUGGAGAUUCUAAAAUUUUCAAACCUGACUGGGGCGGAGACAGACAGAUCCAAAAAAAAUUUCUGACACAAUUUUGAUAUAUGGAACAUUGAAAUCAGAGUUCGUAUGCGAAAGUUAUUGCUAUUUUACGAAUGGGAUCCGAAUUAGAGGAUAAUACGGUUCGAAAGUGGGAAAAAUUUGCGGCGGUGGCUAGAAAGUGAUGGGGAAAACACACGAACUGGACUCUAACAAGACCUAACCAGCAACAAUACCUCGACCAGGACACAAACUCAACACUGCAUACUCUCAGACUGAAAUAUGCAAAGGCUAUGACGCUGAAGGGUUGUAGGACAGGAAAACGAUAUGGCACUGGACUUACGGGACGACCACAAGAACACUCGAAACUAAAGGUAGAUGUGAACCUAACGGUAUACCUGAAGCUUUCAUAUUUUUCUUUUACUUAGGAGCACUAAAGAAGUAACCAGAGAAAACUUGAGCUUAAACAAGUGAAAGACAUGGCCUGCGGAAUUUUCUGAAAAUUGCGAAAAAUGUCAAAUAAACUUCACGAGGUGAAAACUCAAAUUUUGGGGGCAAAUUUGGAGAUUCUAAAAUUUUCAAACAUGCCAGUUCCAAGGAUAGACAGAUCCAAAAUUUUUUCUGAUCGAUUUUGAUAUAUGGAAAAUUGAAAUUGGAGUUCGUAUGUGAAAGUUAUGGCUGUUUUAUGAAUGAACUCUAAAUUAGAGGACAAAAUGGUCCGUAAGUGUGAAAAAUUUACGGCGGUGGCUAGAAAUUGAUGGAAACGUUGGGGAAAAAUACAUGAACUGGACUCUAACAAGACCUAACCAGCAACAAGACCUCAACCAGGACACAAACUCAACACUGUAGACUCUGAAACUGAAAUAUGGAAAGGCUACGGCGCGGAAGGGUUGUAGGAUAGGAAAACGAUAUGGCACUGGACUUAUGGGACGAACACAAGAACACUCGAAAUUAAGGGUAGAUGUGAACCUAACAGUAUACCUGAAGCUUUGAUUACCAGUUGAUGAGAACAAGGGUGGCCCGAUCUUCCAAAAGGUUCUGGUAACUCUCGAUUUGGUGGAGACAAGACACAAAUCGAUCCGGCUUCUGAACAACACGAUCCGAAACCCUACAAUUUUUUUAUUUUCUUGAUAUUUUUCUUUUACUUAGGGGCAAUAAAGAAGUAACCGCAGAAAAUUUGAGCUUAAACAAGUGAAAGACGUGGCCUGCAGAAAUUUCUGAAGAUUGCGAAAUAUGUGAGAAAAAUUGAUGAGGUGAAAACUCAAACUUUGGAGGCCAAUUUGGAGAUACUAAAAUUUUCAAACCCAUCGAUGUCAGAGACACACAGAUCCAAAUUUUUUUUCUAAUCGAUUUUGAUAUAUGGAACAUUGAAAUCGGAGUUCGUAUGUGAAAGUUAUGGCUGUUUUACGAACGGACUCCGAAUUAGAGGACAAAACGGUUCGAAAGUGGGAAAAAUUUGCGGCGGUGGCUAGAAAUUGAUGGAAAACGGUGGGGAAAAACACACGAACUGGACUCUAGCAAGACCUAACCAGCAACAAGACCUCGACCAGGACACAAACUCAACACUACGGACUCUGAAACUGAAAUAUGCAAAGGCUAUGACGCGGAAGGGUUGUAGGACAGGAAAACGAUAUGGCACUGGACUUACGAGACGAACACAAGAACACUCGAAACUAAGGGUAGAUGUGAACCUAACGGUAUACCUGAAGUUUUGAUUACCACUUGAUGAGAAAAAAGGUGGCCCGAUCUUCCGAAAGUUUCUGGUAACUCUCGAUUUGGUGGAGACGAGAUACAAACCGAUACGGCUUCUGAGCAACAUGAUCAGAAACCCUGCAAUUUUUUUUAUUUUUUUGAUAUUUUUAUUUUACUUAGGAGCACAAAAGAAGUAACCAUAGAAAAUUUGAGCUCAAACAAGUGAAAGACGUGGCCUGUAGAAAUUUCUGAAGAUUGCGAAAAAUGUAAAAAAAACACGAGGUGAAAACUCAAAUAUUGGAGGUGAAUUUGGAGAUACUAAAAUUUUCAAACCCACCAAUGGUGGAGACAGAUAGGUCCAAAAUUUUUUUCUGACACGAUUUUGAUAUAUGAAACAUUGAAAUCGGAGUUCGUAUACGAAAGUUAUGGCUGUUUUACUAAUGGGGUCUGAUUAGAGGACAAAACGGUUCGAAAUUGGGAAAAAUUUGCGGCGGUGGCUAGAAAUUGAUGGAAAACGGUGAGGAAAAACACACGAACUAGACUCUAACAAGACCUAACCAGCAACAAGACCUCGACCAGGACACAAACUCAACACUGCGGACUCUCAAACUGAAAUAUGCAAAGGCUAUGACGCGGAAGGGUUGUAGGACAGGAAAACGAUAUUGCACUGGACUUACGGGACGAACACAAGAACACUCGAAACUAAGGGUAGAUGUGAACCUAACGGUAUACCUGAAGCUUUGAUUACCACUUGAUGAGAGCAAGGAUGGCCUGAUCUUAUGAAAUGUUCUGGUAACUCUCGAUUUGGUGGAGACGAGAUAUAAAUCGAUCCGGCUUCCAAACAACACGAUCCGAAACCCUACAUUUUUUUAAUUUCUUUGAUAUUUUUCUUUUACUUAGGAGCACUAAAGAAGUAACUAGAGAAAACUUGAGCUUAAACAAGUGAAGGACAUGGCCUGCGGAAUUUUCUGAAGAUUGCUAAAAAUGUGAAAUAAACUUCACAAGGUGAAAACUCAAAUUUCGGAGGCGAAUUUGGAGAUUCUAAAAUUUUCAAACCCGCCAGUUCCAAGGAUAGACAGAUCCAAUUUUUUUCCUGAUCGAUUUUGAUAUAUGGAACAUUGAAAUCGGAGUUUGUAUGUGAAAGUUAUGGCUGUUUUAUGAAUGGACUCUAAAUUAGAGGACAAAAUGGUCCGAAAGUGUGAAAAAAUUACGGCGGCGGCUAGAAAUUGAUUGAAACGGUGGGGAGAAAUACAUGAACUGGACUCUAACAAAACCUAACCAGCAACAAGACCUCAACCAAGAUACAAACUCAACACUAUAGACUCUGAAACUGAAAUAUGCAAAGGCUAUGGCGCGUAAGGGUUGUAGGAUAGGAAAACGAUAUUGCACUGGACUUACGGGACAAACACAAGAACACUCGAAACUAAGGGUAGAUGUGAACCUAACGGUAUACCUGAAGCUUUGAUUACCACUUGAUGAGAGCAAGGGUGGCCUGAUCUUUUGAAAUGUUCUGGUAACUCUCGAUUUGGUGGAGACGAGAUACAAACCGACCCGGCUUCCGAACAACACGAUCAGAAACUCUACAAUUUUUUUUAUUUUUUUGAUAUUUUCUUUUACUUAGGAGCACUAAUGAAGUAACCACAAAAAAUUUGAGCUUAAACAAGUGGAAGACGUGGCUUGUAGAAAUUUCUGAAGACUGCGAAAAAUGUAAAAAAAAUCACGAGGUGAAAACUCAAAUUUUGGAGGUUAAUUUGGAGAUACUAAAAUUUUCAAACCCACCAAUGGCAGAGACAGACAGAUCCAAAAUUUUUUUCUAACACGAUUUUGAUAUAUGAAACAUUGAAACUAGAGUUCGUAUGCGAAAGUUAUGGCUGUUUUACGAAUGGGGUCUGAAUUAGAGGACAAAACGGUUCGAAAUUGGGAAAAAUUUGCGGCGGUGGCUAGAAAUUGAUGGAAAACGGUGGGGAAAAACACACGAACUGGACUCUAACAAGACCUAACCAGCAACAAGACCUCGACCAGGACACAAACUCAACACUGCAGACUAUCAAACUGAAAUAUGCAAAGGCUAUGAUGCGGAAGGGUUCUAGGACAGGAAAACGAUAUUGCACUGGACUUACGGGACGAACACAAGAACACUCGAAACUAAGGGUAGAUGUGAACCUAACGGUAUACCUGAAGCUUUGAUUACCACUUGAUGAUAGCAAGGGUCGCCUGAUCUUAUGAAAUGUUCUGGUAACUCUCGAUUUGGUGGAGACGAGAUACAAAUCGAUCCGGCUUCCAAACAACAUGAUCCGAAACCCGGCAUUUUUUAAUUUCAUUGAUAUUUUUCUUUUACUUAGGAGCACUAAAGAAGUAACUAGAGAAAAUUUGAGCUUAAACAAGUGAAAGACGUGGCCUGCGGAAUUUUCUGAAGAUUGAGAAAAAUGUGAAAUAAACUUCACGUGGUGAAAACUCAAAUUUCGGAGGCGAAUUUGGAGAUUCUAAAAUUUUCAAACCCGCCUGGGGCGGAGACAGACAGAGCCAAAAUUUUUUUCUGAUACUAUUUUGAUAUAUGGAACAUUGAAAUUAGAGUUUGUAUGUGAAAGUUAUGGUUAUUUUACGUAUGGGAUCCGAAUUAGAGGACAAUACGGUUCGAAAGUGGGAAAAAUUUGCGGCGGUGGCUACAAAUUGAUGGAAAAUGGUGGGGAAAAACACACGAACUAGACUCUAACAAGACUUAACUAGCAACAAGACCUCGACCAGGACACAAACUCAACACUGCAUACUCUCAAACUGAAAUAUGCAAAGGCUAUGACGCGGAAGGGUUGUAGGACAGGAAAACGAUAUGGCACUGGACUUACGGGACGACCACAAGAACACUCGAAACCAAAGGUAGAUGUGAACCAAAUGGAAUUCCCUUAAGCUUUGAUUAUCACUUGAUGAGAGCCAGGGUGACCUGAUCUUAUGAAAUGUUCUGGUAACUCUCGAUUUGGUGGAGACGAGAUACAAAUCGAUUCGGCUUCCAAACAACACGAUCCAAAACCCUGCAUUUUUUUAAUUUUUUUGAUAUUUUUCUUUUACUUAGGAGCACUAAAGAAGUAACCACAGAAAACUUGAGCUUAAACAAGUGAAAGACAUGCCCUGCGGAAUUUUCUGAAUAUUGCAAAAAAUGUGAAAUAAACUUCACGAGGUGAAAACUCAAAUUUCGGAGGCGAAUUUGGAGAUUCUAAAAUUUCAAACCCGCUCCGGGUGGGGACGAACAAAUCCAAAAAUUUUUUGUGAUCGAUUUUGAUAUAUGGAACGUUGAAAUCGGAGUUCGUAUGUGAAAGUUAUGGCUGUGUUACGAACGGACUCCGAAUUAGAGGACAAAACGGUCCGAAAGUGGGAAAAAUUUGCGGCGGUGGCUAGAAAUUGAUGAAAAACGGUGGGGAAGAACACACGAACUGGACAACACACGAACUGGACUGUAACAAGACCUAACCAACAACAAGACCUGGACCAGGACACAAAUUCUAUGGCGCGGAAGGGUUGUAGAACAGAAAAAUGAUAUGACACUGGACUUAUGAGACAAACACAAGAACACUCGAAACUAAGGGUAGAUGUGAACCUAACGGUAUACAUGAAACUUUGAUUACCACUUGAUGAGAACAAGGGUGGCCUGAUCUUCCGAAAGGUUCUGGUAUCUGGGUUCCGAACAACACGACCCGAAAUUCUGCAAUUUUUUUUAAUUUUUUGAUAUUUUUUUACUUAGGAGCACUAAAGAAGUAACCACAGAAAAUUUGAGCUUAAACAAGUGAAAGAAAAUUUGAGCUUAAACAAGUGAAAGACGUGGCCUGCAGAAUUUUUUGAAGAUUGCGAAAAAUGUGAAAUAAACUUCACGAGGUGAAAACUCAAACUUCAGAGGCGAAUUUGGAGAUUCAAAAAUUUUUAAACCCACCAAUGGCGGAGACAGACAGAUCCAAAAAUUUUUCUGACCGAUUUUGAUAUAUCGAACAAUGAAAUCGGUGUUCGUAUGUGAAAGUUAUGAUUGUUUUACGAACGGACUCCGAAUUUGAUGACAAAACAGUCUAAAAGUGGGAAAAAUUUGCGGCGGUGGCUAGAAAUUGAUGGAAACGGUUGUGAAAAAUACACGAACUAGACUCUAACAAGACCUAACCAACAACAAGACCUCGACCAGGAACCAAACUCAACACUGCGGACUCCGAAGCUAAAAUAUGCAAUGGCUAUGGUGCGGAAGGGUUGUUGGACAGAAAAACGAUAUGGCACUGGACUUAUGGGACGAACACAAGAACACUCGAAACUAAGGGUAGAUGUGAACCUAAUGGUAUACCUGAAGAUUUGAUUACCACUUGAUGAGAACAAGGGGCCCGAUGUUCCGAAAGGUUCUGGUAACUCUCGAUUUGGUGGAGACGAGACACAAAUCGAUCUGGCUUUCGAACAACACGAUCCAAAAUCUUGCAAUUCUAUUUUGAUAUUUUCUUUUCUUAGGAGCAGUAAAGAAGUAGCCAUAGAAAACUUGAGCUUAAACAAGUGAAAGACGUGGCCUGCAGAAAUUUCUGAAGAUUGCGGAAAAUGUGAAAAAAAUUCAUGAGGUGAAAACUCAAACUUCGGAGUCGAAUUCAUAGAUUCUAAAAUUUUCAAACCCACCGAUGGCAGAGACAGACAGAUCCAAAAAAAUUUUCUAACCAAUUUUGAUACAAAUCGGUGUUCGUAUGCGAAAGUUAUGGCUAUUUUUCAAAUGGACUCCGAAUUAGAGGAUAAAAUAUUUCGAAAGUGGGAAAAAUUUGCGGCGGUGGCUAGAAAUUGAUGGAAACGGUGGGGAAGAAAUACAUAAACUGGACUUUCAGAAGACCUAACCAGCAACAAGACCCCGACCAGGACACAAACUCGACACUGCGGACUCAAAAACAGAAAUAUGCAAAGGCUAUGGCGCGGAAGGAUUGUAGGACAGAAAAACGAUAUGGCACUAGACUUAUUGGACGAACACAAGAACACUCGAAACUAAGGGUAGAUGUGAACCUAAUGGUAUACCUGAAGCUGAUUACCACUUGAUGAGAACAAAGGGUGGCCCGAUCUUCCCAAAGGUUCUGGUAACUCUCGAUUUAGCGGAGACGAGAUACAAAUCGAUCUGGGUUCCAAACAACACGAUCCGAAAUCCUACAAUUUUUUAAAUUUUUUUUUAUAUUUUUGUUUUACUUAGAAGCACUAAAGAAGUAACCACAGAAAAUUUGAGCUUCAACAAGUGAAAGACGUGGCCUGCAGAAUUUUUUGAAGAUUGUGAAAAAAGUGAAAUAAAGUUCAUGAGAUGAAAACUCAAACUUCAGAGGCGAGUUUGGAGAUUCUAAAAUUUUCAAACCCACCAAUGGCAGAGACAGACAGAUCCAAACUUUUUUUCUGACCGAUUUUGAUAUAUGGAACAAUGAAAUCAGUGUUCGUAUGUGAAAGUUAUGGUUGUUUUACGAACGGUCUCCGAAUUCGAUGACAAAACGGUCCGAAAGUGGGAAAAAAAUUGCGGCGGUGGCUAGAAAUUGAUGAAAAUGGUGGGGAAAAAUACACAAACUGGACUCUAACAAGACCCAACCAGCAACAAGACCCCGACUAUGACACAAACUCGACACUGCGGACUCUGAAACUGAAGUAUGCAGAGGCUAUGGCCCGGAAGGAUUGUAGGACGGGAAAACGAUAUGACACUAGAUUUAUGGGACGAACACAAGAACACUCGAAAGUAAGGGUAGAUGUGAACCUAACGGUAUACCUGAAGCUGAUUACCACUUGAUGAGAACAAGGGUGGCCCGAUCUUUCCAAAUGUUCUCGUAACUCUCGAUUUAGUGGAGACGAGACACAAAUCGAUCCGGCUUCCGAACAACACGAUCCAAAACGCUGCAUUUUUUUAUUUUUCUGGAAAUUUUCUUUUAUUUAGGAGCACUAAAGAAGUAAUCACAGAAAAUAUGAGCUUAAACAAGUGAAAGACGUGGCCUGCGGAAUUUUCUGAAGAUUGCGAAAAAUGUGAAAUCAAUUUCACGAGGUGAAAACUCAAACUUCGUGGGCAAGUUUGCAGAUUCUGAAAUUUUUAAACCCGCCUUUGGUGGGCACAGACAGAUCCGAAAUUUUUUUCUGAUCAAUUUGGAUAUAUGGAACGUUGAAAUCGGAGUUCGUAUGCGAAAGUUAUGGCUGUGUUACGAAUGGACUCUGAAAUAGAGGACAAAACGGUAUGAACGUGGGAAAAAUUUGCGGUGGUGGCUAGAAAUUGAUGGAAACAGUGGGGAAAAAUACACGAACUAGACUCUAACAAGACCUAAAAAAACAACAAGACCUCGACCAGGAACCAAACUCAACACUGCGGACUCUGAAACUGAAAUAUGCAAAGACUAUGGCGCGGAAUGGUUGUAGGGAAGAAAAACGAUAUGGCACUAGACGUAUGGGACGACCACAAGAACACUCAAAACUAAGGGUAGAUGUGAACCUAACGGUAUACCUGAAGCUUUAAUUACCACUUAAUGAGAACAAGGGUGGCCCGAUCUUCCGAAACGUUCUGGUAACUCUUGAUUUGGUGGAGACGAGACACAAAUCGAUCUGGCUUCCGAACAACACGAUAAAAAAUCCUGCAAUUUUUUUUUGAUAUUUUUCUUUUCUUAGGAGCAAUAAAGAAGUAACCACACAAAACUUGAGCCUAAACAAGUGAAAGACGUGGCAUGCAGAAAUUUCUGAAGAUUGCGGAAAAUGUGAAAAAAAUUCAUGAGGUGGAAACUCAAACUUUGGAGGCGAAUUUGUAGAUUCUAAAAUUUUCAAACCCACAAAUGGCAGAGACAGACAGAUCCAAAAAAUUUUUCUGACAGAUGUUGAUAUAUGGAACAUUGAAAUCGGUGUUCGUAUCCGAAAGUUAUGGCUGUUUUACGAACUGACUCCGAAUUAGAUGACAAAACGGUCCGAAAGUGGGAAAAAUUUGUGAUGGUGGCUAGAAAUUGAUGGAAACGGUGGGAAAAAAUACACGAAUUGGACUCUAACAAGACCUAACCAACAACAAGACCUUGACUAGGACACAAACUCAACACUGCAGACUCUGAAACUGAAAUAUGCAAAGGCUAUGACGCGGAAGGGUUGUAGGUCAAGAAAACGAUAUGGCACUGGACUUAUGGGACGAACACAAGAGCACUCGGAACUAAGGGUAGAUGUGAACUUAACGGUAUACCUGAAGCUUUGAUUACCACUUGAUGAGAACAAGAGUGGCCCGAUCUUCCGAAAGGUUAUGGUAACUCUCGAUUUGGCGGAGACGAGACACAAAUCGAUUCGGCUUCGAAACAACACAAUCCAAAAUCCUACUAUUUUUUAUUUUUUUAUAUUUUUCUCUGACUUAGGAGCAAUAAAGAAGUAACCGCAGAAAAUUUGGGCUUAAACAAGUGAAAGACGUGGCCUGCAGAAAUUUCUGAAGAUUGUGAAAAAUGUGAAAAAAAUUCACGAGGUGAAAACUCAAACUUCAGAGGUGAAUUUGGAGAUUCUAAAAUUUUCAAACCCACCAAUGCUAGAGACAGACAGAUCCAAAUUUUUUCUGAUCGAUUUUGAUAUAUGGAACAUUGAAAUCGGAGUUCGUAUGUGAAAGUUAUGGUUGUUUUACGAAUGGACUACGAAUUAGAGGACAAAACGGUCCGAAAGUGGGAAAAAUUUUCGGCGGUGGCUAGAAAUUGAUGGAAACGGUGGGGAAAAAUACACGAACUAGACUCUAAUAAGACCUAACCAACAACAAGACCUCGACCAGGACACAAACUCGACACUGCGGACUAUGAAACUAAAAUAUGCAAAGGCUCUGGCACGGAAGGUUGUAGGACAGGAAAACGAUAUGGCACUGGACUUAUAGGACGAACACAAGAACACACGAAACUAAGGGUAGAUGUGAACCUAACAAUAUAUCUGAAGCUUUGAUUACCACUUGAUGGGAACAAGAGUGGCCCGAUAUUCUGAAAGGUUCUGGUAACUCUCGAUUUGGCGAAGACGAGACACAAAUCGAUCCGGCUUCCAAACAACACGAUUCGAAAUCCUGCAAUUUUAUUUUAUUUUUUUGAUAUUUUUCUUUUACUUAGGAGCAAUAAAGAAGUAACCAUAGAAAGUUUGAGGUUAAACAAGUGAAAGACGUGGCCUGCGGAAAUUUCUGAAAAUUGCAAAAAAUGUGAAAAAAAUUCACGAGGUGAAAACUCAAACUUCAGAGGCGAAUUUGGAGAUUCUAAAAUUUUCAAACCCACCAAUGGUAGAGACAGACAGAUCCAAAUUUUUUCUAAUCGAUUUUGAUAUAUAUGGAACAUUGAAAUCGGAGUUCGUAUGCGAAAGUUAUGGUUGUUUUACGAGCAAACUCCGAAUUAGAGGACAAAACAGUCCGAAAGUGGGAAAAAUUUGCGGCGGCGGCUAGAAAAUGAUGGAAACGGUGGGGAAAAUGCACAAACUGGACUCUAACAAGACCUCACCAGCAACAAGACCCUAACUAGGACACAAACUCGACACUAUGGACUCUGAAACUGAAAUAUGCAAAGGCUAUGGCGCGGAAGGGUUGUAGGACAGGGAAACGAUAUGGCACUGGACUUAUGGGAUGAACAUAAGAACACUCAAAACUAAGGGUAGAUGUGAACCUAACGGUAUACCUGAAGCUUUGAUUACCAUUUGAUGAGAACAAGGGUGGCCCGAUCUUCUGAAAGGUUCUGGUAACUCUCGAUUUGGUGGAGAUGAGAUACAAAUCGAUCUUGCUUCCGAACAACACGAUCCGAAACCCUACAAUUUUUUUAUUUUUUUGAUAUUUUUCUUUUACUAAGGAGCACUAAAGAAGUAACCACAUAAAAUUUGAGCCUAAACAAGUGAAAGCCGUGGUCGGUGGAAUUUUCUAAAAAUUGCAAAAAAUAUGAAAAAAACUUCAUGAGAUGAAAACUCAAAGUUCGUAGGUGAAUUUGGAGAUUCUAAAAUUUUCAAACCCGCCUUUGGCGGGGACAUACAGAUCUGAAAUUUUUUCUGAUCGAUUUUGAUAUAUGGAAUGUUGAAGUCGGAGUUCAUAUGCAAAAGUUAUGGCUAUUUUACGAAUAGACUCCGAAUUGGAGGACAAAACACUGUGUAAGUGGGAAAAAUUUGCGGCAGUGGCUAGAAAUUGAUGAAAAAUGUUGGGAAAAAACACACGAACUGGAUUCUAACAAGAUCUAACCAGCAACAAGACCUCGACCAGGACAUAAACUCAACACUACGGACUCUGAAACUGAAAUAUGCAAAGGCUAUGGCGUGGAAGGGAUGUAGGACAGGAAAACGAUAUCGCACUGGACUUAUGGGACAAACACAAGAACACUCGAAACUAAGGGUGAUGUCUAAUGGUAUACCUGAAGCUUUGAUUACCACUUGAUGAGAAUAAGGGUGGCCAAUUUUCCGAAAGGUUCUCGUAACUCGCGAUUUGGUGGAGACGAGAUACAAAUUGAUCCGACUUUCGAACAACAUGAUCCGAAACCCUGCACUUUUUUUAAUUUUUUUGAUAUUUUUCUUUUACUUAGGAGCACCAAAAGAAGUAACCACAAAAAAUUUAAGCUUAAACAAGUGAAAGACGUGACCUGCGGAUUUUUCUAAAUAUUGCAAAAAUGUGAAAAAAACUUCACGAGGUGAAAACUCAAACAUUGGAGGCGAAUUUGGAGAUUCUAAAAUAUUCAAACCCACCUUUGGAAGGGACAGACGGAUCCGAAAUUUUUUCUGAUUGAUUUUGAUAUAUGGAACGUUGAAAUCGGAGUUCGUAUGCGAAAGUUAUGGCUAUUUUACGAAUGGACUCCGAAUUAGAGGACAAAGCGGUCGGAGAGUGGGAAAAAUUUGCGGCAGUGGCUAGAAUUUGAUGGAAAACGGUGGGGAAAAACACACGAACUGGACUCUAACAAGACCUAACCAGCAACAAGACCUCGACCAAGACACAAACUCAAUACUGCGGAUUCUGAAACUGAAAUAUGCAAAGGCUAUGGUGCGGAAGGGAUGUAGGAGAGGAAAAUGAUAUGGCACUAGACUUGUGGGACGAACACAAGAACACUCGAAACUAAGGGUGAUGUGAACCUAACGGUAUACCUGAAGCUUUGAUUACCACUUGUUGAGAACAAGGGUGGCCCGAUCUUCCGAAAGGUUCUGGUAACUCUCGAUUUGGUGGAGACGAUAUACAAACAUAUCCGGCUUCCGAACAACAUGAUCCAAAACCUUGCAAUUUUUUAAUUUUUUUGAUAUUUUUCUUUUACUUAGGAGUACUAAAGAAGUAACCACAAAAAAUUUUUUUUGACACAACUUUGAUAUAUGGAAUAUUGAAAUCGGAGUUCGUAAGUGAAAGUUAUGGCUAUUUUACGAAUGGGAUCCGAAUUAGAGGAUAAUACGGUUCGAAAAUGGGAAAAAUUUGCGGCGGUGGCUACAAAUUGAUGGAAAACGGUGGGGAAAACACACGAACUGGACUCUAACAAGAUCUAACCAGCAACAAGACCUCGACCAGGACACAAACUCAACACUGCAUACUCUCAAACUGAAAUAUGCAAAGGCUAUGACGCUGAAGGGUUGUAGGACAGGAAAACGAUAUGGCACUGGACUUACGGGACGACCACAAGAACAUUAGAAACCAAAGGUAGAUGUGAACCUAAUGGUAUACCUGAAGCUUUGAUUAUCACUUGAUGAGAGCCAAGGUGACCUGAUCUUAUGAAAUGUUCUGGUAACUCUCGAUUUGGUGGAGACGAGAUACAAAUCGAUUCGGCUUCCAAACAACACGAUCCAAAACCCUGCAUUUUUUAAUUUUUUUUGAUAUUUUUCUUUUACUUAGGAGCACUAAAGAAGUAACCACAGAAAACUUGAGCUUAAACAAGUGAAAGACAUGGCCUGCGGAAUUUUCUGAAGAUUGCGAAAAAUGUGAAAUAAACUUCACGAGGUGAAAACUCAAAUUUCGAAGGCGAAUUUGGAGAUUCUAAAAUUUUCAAACCCGCCCCGGCUGGGGACGAACAAAUCCAAAAAAAUUUUCUGAUCGAUUUUGAUAUAUGGAACGUUGAAAUCGGAGUUCGUAUGUGAUGUUAAGGCUGUGUUACGAACGGACUCCGAAUUAGAGGACAAGACGGUCCGAAAGUGGAAAAAAUUUGCGGCGGUGGCUAGAAAUUGAUGGAAACGGUGGGGAAGAACACACGAACUGGACAACACACGAACUGGACUGUAACAAGACCUAACCAACAACAAGACCUGGACCAGGACACAAAUUCUAUGGUGCGGAAGGGUUGUAGAACAGGAAAAUGAUAUGACACUGGAGUUAUGGGACAAACACAAUAACACUCAAAACUAAGGGUAGAUGUGAACCUAACGGUAUACAUGAAACUUUGAUUACCACUUGAUGAGAACAAGGGUGGCCUGAUCUUCCGAAAGGUUCUGGUAUCUCUCGAUUUGGUGGAUACGAGAUACAAACUGAUCUGGGUUCCGAACAACACGAUCCGAAAUCCUGCAAUUUUUUUUAAUUUUUUGAUAUUUUUCUUUUACUUAGGAGCACUAAAGAAGUAACCACACAAAAUUUGAGCUUAAACAAGUGAAAGAAAAUUUGAGCUUAAACAAGUGAAAGACGUGGCCUGCAGAAUUUUUUGAAGAUUGCGAAAAAUGUGAAAUAAACUUCACGAGGUGAAAACUCAAACUUCAGAGGCGAAUUUGG
rnacentral:lncRNA from 1 species